AACACCCAAAGCUGAAGUUCUAUUUAAACUAUUCCCUG
rnacentral:tRNA from 1 species